UUAAAUCUGUGCCUGUCCCAAGUCAGGAGCCUGUAAUUCAGUGGUUGUCGUUUGUUUAUGUGUUACAUAUUUGUUUUUCGUUCAUUUUUUUACUUAAAUAAGGCCGUUAGUUUUCUCGUUUGAAUUGUUUUUACAUUGUCUUAUCGGGGCCUUUAUAGCUGACUAUGCGGUAUGGGCUUUGCUCAUUGUUGAAGGUCGUACGGUGACCUAUAGUUGUUAAUGUUUGUGUCAUUUUGGUCUUUUGUGGAU
rnacentral:lncRNA from 1 species